rnacentral:lncRNA from 10 species
CAGCCCUGUAGGAGACACCUCCAGAGAAAGUAACAGCUCUCAAUUGAUUAGCUGAGAUUUGUACUUUUUGUUUCUGUGCAUGUUUUUGUAUGUGCAAUCUCACAAUUACCUGAUGGACAAGAAGAAUAAACAGAUGCUUUUACAGCUCGCCUUGGCGGGAAGAUCUGGCACAAAUGAAGUAUCUAUAAGGAGCAGCAGAGUCAAGGUGGUGAUCCUGUGGAUGAAUAACUGAAACCUGAUAUACUUGACAGCAGAAAAUAUAAAGCAAAUUGAAAAGGAGAGAGUGUGGAGAUAAAUAAGAAAAUGAAAGAACUGAUAAAGUCACUUGGAUUAAAAAACCUGGGAGUAAGGGCUUUGUUUAUGAUUGAACUUAAGAGAGAAUUGAGGGACCACCUACCUUUGAUGUUAACGAGAAAGUAAAGAGGAAACAUAUUUAGAGAUACCCUUUGGUGAAAAACAGAAAUGGAUGUGUCAUUUGAUGCAUCACAUUAUUUAUUCAACAAACUCUUAGUGAGAACUUACUGUGUAUGAAAGACUGGACUGAAACAUAUAUAAGAAAUAAUUUUUGGCCCAAGGAAUUUAUAGUAUAAUUGAGGAAACAAAUACAAAUCACUUCUGCAAAGUAGCAG